rnacentral:rRNA from 1 species
GAUGAACGCUGGCGGCGUGCUUAACACAUGCAAGUCGAACGGGAAACCUUUUAUUGAAGCUUCGGCAGAUUUAGCUGGUUUCUAGUGGCGGACGGGUGAGUAACGCGUGGGUAACCUGCCUUAUACAGGGGGAUAACAACCAGAAAUGGUUGCUAAUACCGCAUAAGCGCACAGGACCGCAUGGUCCGGUGUGAAAAACUCCGGUGGUAUAAGAUGGACCCGCGUUGGAUUAGCUAGUUGGCAGGGUAACGGCCUACCAAGGCGACGAUCCAUAGCCGGCCUGAGAGGGUGAACGGCCACAUUGGGACUGAGACACGGCCCAGACUCCUACGGGAGGCAGCAGUGGGGAAUAUUGCACAAUGGGGGAAACCCUGAUGCAGCGACGCCGCGUGAAGGAAGAAGUAUCUCGGUAUGUAAACUUCUAUCAGCAGGGAAGAUAGUGACGGUACCUGACUAAGAAGCCCCGGCUAACUACGUGCCAGCAGCCGCGGUAAUACGUAGGGGGCAAGCGUUAUCCGGAUUUACUGGGUGUAAAGGGAGCGUAGACGGACUGGCAAGUCUGAUGUGAAAGGCGGGGGCUCAACCCCUGGACUGCAUUGGAAACUGUUAGUCUUGAGUGCCGGAGAGGUAAGCGGAAUUCCUAGUGUAGCGGUGAAAUGCGUAGAUAUUAGGAGGAACACCAGUGGCGAAGGCGGCUUACUGGACGGUAACUGACGUUGAGGCUCGAAAG